CGUUCCAAUUCACAAAUUCUGUGCCUCGGCUUCGCUUUCGCUCAGACUUAUCCCCGCUUAGUCAGUGGGGGUAGACGCGAAACCUUGUGAUCUACCCAUGGGCAGGUUGAAGUUCCAGUAACAUGGAAUGGAGGACCGAACCGAUAAACGUUGAAAAGUUUCCGGAUGACCUGUGGGUAGGGGUGAAAGGCCAAUCAAACUGGGAAAUAGCUCGUACUCCCCGAAAUGCAUUUAGGUGCAGCGUUUAGUAAAGUAUAUUAGAGGUAGAGCUACUGAUUGGAUGCGGGGGCUUCACCGCCUACCAAUUCCUGACAAACUCCGAAUGCUAUAUAAUGUUUACCAGCAGUGAGGGCAUGGGUGCUAAGGUCCAUGUCCGAGAGGGAAAGAACCCAGACCAUCAGCUAAGGUCCCCAAAUGUAUGCUAAGUUGAAAAAACGAGGUUUGUCUGCCCAGACAGCUAGGAUGUUGGCUUGGAAGCAGCCAUUCAUUUAAAGAGUGCGUAACAGCUCACUAGUCGAGCGGUUCGGCAUGGAUAAUAAUCGGGCAUAAGUAUAGUACCGAAGCUAUGGAUUUAUAACUUUUGAGUUAUAUCUGGUAGGGGAGCAUUCUAUUUGCGCCGAAGCAGUAUCGUGAGGUAUUGUGGAGCGGAUAGAAAAGAAAAUGUAGGCAUAAGUAACGAUAAAGCGGGCGAGAAACCCGCUCACCGAAAGACUAAGGUUUCCUCAGCCAUGCUAAUCAGCUGAGGGUUAGUCGGGACCUAACGCGAACCCGAAAGGGGAAGUGGAUGGACAAUGGGUUAAUAUUCCCAUACUUGCUCACACUAAAAAGGGGACGGAUUUACGUACUUGCUGGAGACUGACGGAAUAGUCAAGGCCUAGCCUUCGGGCGAAGCUGCUGCAGGGAAAUAGAUUCCAAGAAAAGCCGAAGUGAAGCAACCCGUACCAAAACCGACACAGGUAGUCGAGGAGAGAAUCCUAAGGUGCUAGAGUGAAUCAUGGUUAAGGAACUAGGCAAAAUAGUCUCGUAACUUCGGAAGAAGAGACGCCAUCAGCAAUGGUGGCCGCAGUGAAGAGGCCCAGGCGACUGUUUAUCAAAAACACAGGACUCUGCUAAAUCGAAAGAUGCUGUAUAGGGUCUGACACCUGCCCGGUGCUGGAAGGUUAAGGAAGGUUGUUAGCGUAAGCGAAGCAAUUAACUGAAGCCCCAGUAAACGGCGGCCGUAACAAUAACGGUCCUAAGGUAGCGAAAUUCCUUGUCGGGUAAGUUCCGACCUGCACGGAAAUGGCGUAA
rnacentral:rRNA from 1 species